GAAGAUAUAAUUUCCCCCCGAGGAAUACUAUAAUCAUGUAUGGUCUAAAAGAAAGUUAUUAACUAUGAACCCAUGAAUUUGGCAUCCCCUCCAAACCUAUGUCAACAUUUUGAGCUAGUGUGAUGUCCCAAUCUUAGAGUUUUGUGCUGUCACCCAUGAGUUUGAAACUGAUGUUGCCCAGACUGGUGCUGUGGGGUGGUGUUCCUAGUGAGCACUCAGAAAUCACCCUUGUCACAUCUCUUUUGAACCUAUGCCAAAGUUGGGAGCUGGAAUUCAACAGCUUCUGAAGGGUGUCAUGUUGUCUGUCCCUGGAAUGGCCUGUGCCAGGAUCAUCCAUCUACUGGCUGGCUUCUGGACCGGCACAUCAACAGCUGGCUGUUUCUUGGAUUGAAAGAGGAAGUUGUGAAUUUAAUCAAUUUAUUAGGAUGGUAGUUGGAAGGGGCUUAAUAAUAAUAACAAUAACACUACAGUUUCAGUUGCUUAAAAGUAAAAUGAAAUAGAACAUUGUGGUUUGUUUUUCUCCUUUCCACGGGCAAUUCUGCCACACCUUUGCUUGUUUUCUAAUGCAAUCAUUUGAUCCAAUUAUUCACUAGAUACCUUUGGUGCUACUAACACAGCAAAAUCAAUGCAGGAGGCAGCAGUUACGAGUUACAAGUCUCUGCAGCCACAGCAGGUGCUGUGAUUCUCCAGUGGCUUGAUUUCACACCUGGGGGCGCACUCCAUUGUCUUUAGAGACAAAUGGAUGGCAGCAGCAGCAGCAACAACAGCUAAUAAAGCUGAACGAAGCUGCAAACUCAGAAAACAGAAGAUGUUUCUUUAAAGUAAAUCUCAUCCAACAAAAGUAUUGAUGUGCCAGCAGCUGUAACAGCAGCAGUAACAGAAGUUGCCUGCCCUCAAUAUUGCCUAUCCUUCUUUUAUUGUAUCAACAGAUAUAUUGUAGGUGGGUGCAUCCAAAUGUUAGGGGCUGUUAUCCUUGAGCUGUGACCUCCCACUAUUAUCUGAAGCAGACCAAAGGUAUUUUUCUUCUUUGCACUUUCCCCACCAAAGGGAUGUGUCAGAAAAAAGGUCAGUUUUUAGCACAGAAGAUCAAAGUAGUGUGAAGUGCCAUCAAAAGAUGGGGGAAGGACAAGCUUCUUCCUAGAGAACAUAAGAGCCAUCUAAUUUGCUGUUCUUUUCCUUUUCAAUUACAUGACCUGAUCUUAUUCUUGGUUACAGCAGGGAGAAGUAGAACACUUCAAGAGAACUACCGGUAGCUUCUGGCAGGAGAAUACAUGGAAGAGUUCUCUUUCAGCCAAGUGCAAAGAAGACAGUGGCAUGACCAGAUUCGGAGCUUUGAGAAACCAAGACCACCUUAUGAAGUGAUGGAAAGAUGUCUCUGUUCUACAUCAAAGAGAGGGCAGGUUCAAAUCUCCAAUGCUUUUCAAAGAGCUGGUCAGCACUGGCAAAUCUGACAGCAACAAGCAUCCCUUGGACAGGUAGGCAGAUGUAGAUUUGUGCUCGCAGCAGCUCAUGCCCACUCUACUGUUUUGCAUGUGGAUUUUCUGCAUCAAGGAAAAUGCUCUUUGUACAGACUUCUGCCUGCAUGCUAUGGAACAUAAGCAAGUCACUCUGACUUUCCUCAAUAAAAGAAGCUUCCUCAACCCCUCUUCUCACUUCGACCAUUAAAAAAAGCAAGGAAGUUAUGAAACAUAACCAAGGGAGAAUUUGCACAAAGCUAAAAGCAGGGGUUCCAACUUGAAUAAAAUAUUGUGGGGGCCCAGGUAAGCCUUGCCCCACAUAAUCGAAAACAUGAUGCAGUGCACCCCCACCAUUUGAAUGGGAAUACCCAUUAACUUUCUGGGGACACGGCCCCCUCAAAUAUUUUAUUGUGGUUGACUCCUGUGGCUAAUAGGACUAAUAGAGGACUCAGCUACGUUAGUCAAAAAGCAACGCUUUUAAUGUGUUAUAAACAUGCAACACCAGAUGGCACCAGAGAGCAAAAAAAAAUCUAAGUGAUUUUUACAUAGCGUUUUUUCUUUUGUUAUAACGACUUAAUGGCUGGUUUAUUUAUAG